GCUGAAUGUGGGGAUAAUUUAUCUCUGUGUUGAAGCUAACGCGUUAAGCACUCCGCCUGGGGACUACGGUCGCAAGACUAAAACUCAAAGGAAUUGACGGGGACCCGCACAAGCGGUGGAGCAUGUGGUUUAAUUCGAUGCAACGCGAAAAACCUUACCACUCCUUGACAUGGAGAUUAGAUCCUUCUUAACGGAAGGGCGCAGUUCGGCUGGGUCUCGCACAGGUGCUGCAUGGCUGUCGUCAGCUCGUGUCGUGAGAUGUUGGGUUAAGUCCCGCAACGAGCGUAACCCUCAUCCUUAGUUGCCAGCGGAUAAUGCCGGGUACUUUAAGGAAACUGCCGGUGGUAAACCGGAGGAAGGUGGGGAUGAUGUCAAGUCAGCACGGCCCUUAUGGGGUGGGCUACACACGUGCUACAAUGGUGACUACAAUAGGUUGCAACGCCGCAAGGCUGAGCUAAUCCAUAAAAGUCAUCUCAGUUCGGAUUGUCCUCUGUAACUCGAGGGCAUGAAGUCGGAAUCGCUAGUAAUCGUGGAUCAGCAUGCCACGGUGAAUACGUUCUCGGGUCUUGUACACACUGCCCGUCACGCCAUGGGAAUUGGCUUAACUCGAAGCUGGUGCGCUAACCGAAAGGAAGCAGCCAU
rnacentral:rRNA from 1 species